UACGGAGGGUGCAAGCGUUAAUCGGAAUUACUGGGCGUAAAGCGUGCGCAGGCGGUUUGUUAAGUCUGCUGUGAAAUCCCCGAGCUCAACUUGGGAAUUGCAGUGGAUACUGGCAGGCUGGAGUACGGUAGAGGAAGGUGGAAUUCCCGGUGUAGCAGUGAAAUGCGUAGAGAUCGGGAGGAACACCAGUGGCGAAGGCGGCCUUCUGGACCAGUACUGACGCUCAUGCACGGAAAGCGUGGGGAGCAAACAGG
rnacentral:rRNA from 1 species